rnacentral:rRNA from 1 species
CGGUAAUACAUAGGUCACAAGCGUUAUCCGGAAUUAUUGGGCGUAAAGCGUUCGUAGGCGGUUUGUUAAGUCUGGAGUUAAAGACUGGGGCUCAACCCCAGCCCGCUCUGGAUACUGGCUGACUAGAGUUACAUAGAGGUAAGUGGAAUUCUUAGUGGAGCGGUGGAAUGCGUAGAUAUUAGGAAGAACACCAAUGGCGAAGGCAGCUUACUGGAUGUACACUGACGCUCAGGGACGAAAGCGUGGGGAGCAAACAGGAUUAGAUACCCUGGUAGUCCACGCCGUAAACGAUGAUCAUUAGCCGCUAGAAUAUUUAGUGGCGCAGCUAACGCAUUAAAUGAUCCGCCUGAGUAGUAUGCUCGCAAGAGUGAAACUUAAAGGAAUUGACGGGGACCCGCACAAGCGGUGGAGCAUGUGGUUUAAUUUGAAGAUACGCGUAGAACCUUACCCACUCUUGACAUCUUCCGCAAUACUAUGGAGACAUAGUGGAGGUUAACGGAAUGACAGAUGGUGCAUGGUUGUCGUCAGCUCGUGCCGUGAGGUGUUAGGUUAAGUCCUGCAACGAGCGCAACCCCUGUCUUUAGUUACUAACGGGUAAUGCCGAGGACUCUAAAGAGACUGACUGGGUAACCAGUAGGAAGGUGGGGACGACGUCAAAUCAUCAUGCCUCUUACGAGUGGGGCAACACACGUGCUACAAUGGACGGUACAAAGAGAAGCAAUAUGGUGACAUGGGGCAAACCUCAAAAAACCGUUCUCAGUUCGGAUUGAAGUCUGAAACUCGACUUCAUGAAGUUGGAAUCGCUAGUAAUCGUAGAUCAGCUACGCUACGGUGAAUACGUUCUCGGGUCUUGUACACACCGCCCGUC